rnacentral:rRNA from 1 species
UGGGGAAUAUUGCACAAUGGGCGCAAGCCUGAUGCAGCCAUGCCGCGUGUGUGAAGAAGGCCUUCGGGUUGUAAAGCACUUUCAGCGGGGAGGAAGGCGUUAAGGUUAAUAACCUUGGCGAUUGACGUUACCCGCAGAAGAAGCACCGGCUAACUCCGUGCCAGCAGCCGCGGUAAUACGGAGGGUGCAAGCGUUAAUCGGAAUUACUGGGCGUAAAGCGCACGCAGGCGGUCUGUCAAGUCGGAUGUGAAAUCCCCGGGCUUAACCUGGGAACUGCAUUCGAAACUGGCAGGCUAGAGUCUUGUAGAGGGGGGUAGAAUUCCAGGUGUAGCGGUGAAAUGCGUAGAGAUCUGGAGGAAUACCGGUGGCGUAGGCGGCCCCCUGGACAAAGACUGACGCUCAGGUGCGAAAGCGUGGGGAGCAAACAGG